rnacentral:rRNA from 1 species
GCACGACUCUCGGCAACGGAUAUCUCGGCCCUCGCCACGAUGAAGAACGUAGCGAAAUGUGAUACUUAGUGUGAAUUGCAGAAUCCCGUGAGUCAUCCAGUCUUUGAAUGCAAGUUGCGCCCGAGGCUUCGAAUGAGGGCACGUCUGCCUGGGUGUCGCAC